CUGCGGAAACAUGAGUUCAGUGACCAAAUAUAGCCGAGUGGAGUAAGAGGGCAGGUGGGACUCCAAGGCCACAGUCAUCUCAGAGUGACCAGGGCCCAAGCAGUGUGUCAUGAAGAGCCGGGGCCGGGCCCCACUCCCCCAGCAGAGAAGCAACCCUCGUGGGAAACCCCUCACCUGUUAGGGGUCUUCGAACUGACCACGGGAUCGAAAGGAGCUGGUCCCAGCGCCUGGCCUCCGGUGGGAAGUGGACAGAGUGCACGAGUGCGGCCCCACCAUGUCUGAGACUUCCUCCCACGACUCCUUCUACGACUCCCUGUCGGAUGUGCAGGACGACGGCGACACCGCGGACUUCUUUCCUGGGCUCUCGGCUUUUCUCAGUCAGGAAGAGAUACACAAGAGCCUUGACCUAGCCCGCAGAGCCAUUGCCUCCCCCGAGCCAGAGGGCUGCGACCCCGAGGAGCUCUCACAGAGGCUCAGCCCUGCUCCUGGGAGCCUCUGGGAGCCGCCUUCCCACCAGGAACCCAGGUCAGGUGGGCCCGGGGCCCCAGCGAGACCUGGCGGCCACAGGCCCGCACCUAUGCACCCUCCACCGGCCGAGCAAGCCCAGCGUAUCUCCUCUCCUGCGCCGAGGAAGAAACCGGCCGUCUCGCCUCUGCUGGCCAGCCCCAGCUACAUCCGGAGCCUCCGCAAGGCUGGGAAGCACGUGGCAAAGGCUCCCAGCACCAGCGCCAAGCCCAAAGCCACGCGCCACGGCAGGCCUGGUCCCCAGAGCCAGCUGUGCGACAAAGCGGCCAGCUUCAUUGAGGAGCUGACGUCCAUUUUUAGAGAAGCCGCAAAGCCAAGAAACAGAAGCCCCAACGGGGAGUCCUCAUCCCCAGACAGCGGGUACCUAUCCCCCCAAAACCAGCCGUCAACCCUGCGGAGCGCCCCCGCCAGCCAGAGCCCCACCGGGGACCCGCCAGAGGUGGACGUGGAGGCCGAGGCCAAACUCCCUGUGACUGGGCAUCACUCCUCCGCGGCCCGGGGCGCAGCCCGGUCCUCCCGCAGCCCCUCGCCCCCGCCGCCCCUCAGCGCACGCCACCUCCCAUCAGCUCCCCGGUUCACCCAGAAGCUGCGGAGCCAAGAAGUGGCAGAAGGAAGUCGCGUCUACCUGGAAUGCAGAGUCACCGGAACCCCAGCUCCUCGGGUCAGAUGGUUCUGUGAAGGGAAGGAACUGCACAACAGCCCUGACAUCCAGAUCCAGGGGGACGGCGACCUGCACACGCUGCUCAUAGCUGAGGCCUUCGAGGACGACACGGGCCGAUACACCUGCCUGGCCACCAACCCCAGCGGCUCCGACGCCACAUCCGCCGAGGUGUUCAUUGAAGGUACACAGGGUGUGGGGUGGGCAGGGGCCUGUGGCUCUGGUCCCACAGGGCUUCUCCAGCACACAGGGCACAAACAUGUUGUGGGUCUAACCUCAGUCAUCCUGGAAGCUUUAUAAAUAAAUCUGACACUUGGGCACAUGUCAGCGAUAUCUCAUUUCAACAUUUGUUCCUUUCCAUUGAAAAUACUUCAGCUACAUUAACUUGAAUGUACUUAUGAUAUUCUAAGUAUCCAACUUGUUUUUGGUUUCUCUGGUGGAUAAAGAAUGGGGAUAUUUUGAAGUACUGUAUCAAUCAACCGAAGUUGAACUUAAACGAUUUAGGAAAUAAUUCAUGGGAAGGUAGAUUGAAUAUUUUUUAAUGUUCUCAUUUUAACUAAAUUCUGGGAUUUUUUCCUCUUCUGUUAAGACACUGCUAUUCCUGCUAAAUGUACCAUGAACUUGCAAUCACUCGGUGAAAGAUUUCAAGAAUCUAUGUUGCAUUAAAGGAGAGUAGGCAGAGUAGACUAUUUCUAUAGUUCUAACAAUUCUUUUUUAAAAAAAAAUUAUAAUAGUUGAUUUACAAUGGUUUGUCAAUUUAUGCUGUACAGCAAAGUAACCCAGUCACACACAUAUAUAUGUAUAUUCUUUUUUUCACAUUAUCCUCCAUCCCUUUCCAUCACAAGUGAUCAGAUAUAGUUCCUUGGGCUAAACAGCAGGAUCUCAUUGCUUAUCCACUACAAAUGCAAUAGUUUGCAUCUACUAACCCCAAACUCCCAGUCCAUCCCAUUCCCUCUCCCUCUUCUUCCCUCUUGGCAACCACAAGUCUGUUCUCCAAGUCCAUGAGUUUCUUUUCUGUAGAUAGGUUCAUUUGGGCCAUAUAUUAGAUUCCAGAUGUAAGUGAUAUCAUAUGGUAUUUGUCUUUCUUCUUCUGACUUACUUCAUUUAGUAUGAGAGUCUCCAGUUCCAUCCAUGUUGCUGCAAAUGGCAUUAUUUUGUUCUUUUUUAUGGCUGAGUAGUAUUCCAUUACGUAUAUAUACCACAUCUUCUUAAUCCAUUCCUCUGUUGAUGGAUAUUUAGGUUGUUUUCAUGUCUUGGCUGUUAUGAAUAGUGCUGCAAUGAACAUAGUGGUGCGUGUAUCUUUUUCAAUGGCUGCUUUGUCUGGAUAUACGCCCAGGAGUGGGAUUGCUGGAUCAUAGGGUAGUUCUAUAUUUCGUUUUCGGAGGAACCUCCAUGCUGUUCUCCAUAGUGGUUGUACCAAUUUACAUUCCCACCAGCAGUGCAGGAGGGUUCCCUUUUCUCCAAACCCUCUCCAGCAUUUGUUAUUUGUAGACUUACUAAUGAUGGCCAUUCUGACUGGUGUGAGGUGGUACAUCAUUGUAGUUUCAAGUUGCAUUUCUCUAAUAAUUAGUGUUCUAACAUUUCAGGGGUUUUUUCUAUACCCACAGCAUGUGGAAAUUCUUGGGCCAGGGAUCGAACCUGAACCAUAGCAGCAACCUGAGCUGCAGCAGUGACAACACCAGAUCCUUAACCCACUGAGCCACAAAGAACUCCAUAAAUUUUUUUUUUUUCUUUUUAGGGCUGCACCCACAGCAUAUGAAAGUUCCCAGGCUAGAGGUCUAAUCAGAGGUUCACCUUUUGGCCUGCGCCAUAGCCACAGCAACACAGGAAUCUAGCCACAUCUGCGACCUACACCGCAGCUUGCUGUAAUGCCGGAUCCCUGACCCACUGAGCAAGGCCAGGGGUUCAACCUGAGUCCUCAUGCACACUAGUCAGGUUUGUUAGCCACAAUGGGAACUCCGAUAAUUCACUGAGAAGAUUCAGCCUAGAGGGAAUUAGAAAACUUGAAAUCUAACUAUGUAGUUUACGUCACUGUUGCAUUUGAAUCAAUACCAAUAAUUUGAGUUUCAAGUGUCUUACACACCACAGUGUUUUGUUGUCCCUAAAGCCAUAAACUGGUGAGCCCCCUAGUAAUUGCUUGCAUUUCAAAAUAGUAGUUAGACUACGGAAAGAAAAUUUAAAUUCUUGAGCUCUCCACUACCUUAAACUUCAUCUUUUUACUAAUUUUUAACUGUUUAAUAGCACUCAAUUUCUUUGUUUUGUAAAGUAGGAGAAAACAAGAUGUGAACCAUUAUUUAUAGCCCCUAUAAGAACUAACAAAAAAAUUGGUUCUAGAAGUAACUGUUAUUGAAAGUGUAUGCCUUUGCUUUUAACAAAAGGAUUCCCUGCAGCGUUUGCGAAAGCCUCUGUGAGGUCCUCAGGGAACCUCGUCCUGCAAAUAAGAGCAGACCUCUGGUACUGACAGUCACAACUGCUACGUGGCCUCCACACUCAUGCAGAUGCAGUCAUUCAGGCCUCAGCGUGAGCCUGUUCGGUGUUAUCAGGGGCCCUGUGUAUGCAAGUGAAGCCCGGCCGGAGAGGUUAGAGGAUUUGCUCAAAGUCACCAGGACUUGAACCCAGGCCAUCCUGCUCCAGGGCCUGUGUCCUUAGCCUCUGUGUCAUACAUACUCCAAAGUGCUAAAUGAACAGGAAGGAAUGUUGGAAAGAAGAACAUUUACUGCCUUAGCAGAAAGUUUAACUCAUGGGUGGCCCGUGGAGCAAAUGCUGUGAAGCAUUUUCAGUACAAUGAAGGAAAGUUAAACUUGAAUUAAAAAAAAAAAACAAAACUGUUUGCUAAUGAUAGCCGGAUUUGUCUCCUAAAACCAAGUCCAGAUAGAACCUCUUGAGGUGUUUCUCUUUUCAUUUUACAUCUUUUAAAUUUUUUUUAAUUUAAUUUUUGUUUUUCUGUUGUGUUUUUUUAGGGCCGCACUCGAGGCAUAUGGAGGUUCCCAGGCUAGGAGCUGAAUUGGAGCUGUAGCCACUAGCCUACACCACAGCCACAGCAAUACAGGAUCUGAGCCGUGUCUGUGACCUACACUACAGCUCACAGCAACGCCAGAUCCUCAACCCACUGAGUGAGGCCAGGGAUCAAACCGGCCUCCUCAUGGAUGCUAGUCAGAUUCGUUUCCACUAAGCCAUGGCAGGAACUCCAUGGAUUGCUUCUCUACUGCAGAUGUUAAAUCACGUCAGGUUUAUGUACUAGUCUCUUAAUACCCACUCAAACACCUCUUUCCAAGGCCUCACUGUGUGCCAGGCAGUGUGGGUACAAAUGCAAUGGAGACAGCCUUGCUGUCAAGGAUC
rnacentral:lncRNA from 1 species